rnacentral:rRNA from 1 species
UACGUAGGGGGCAAGCGUUGUCCGGAAUCAUUGGGCGUAAAGAGCGUGUAGGCGGCCCGAUAAGUCCGCUGUGAAAGUCCAGGGCUCAACCCUGGGAUGCCGGUGGAUACUGUCGGGCUCGAGUCCGGAAGAGGAGUGUGGAAUUCCUGGUGUAGCGGUGAAAUGCGCAGAUAUCAGGAGGAACACCAAUGGCGAAGGCAGCACUCUGGGACGUGACUGACGCUGAAACGCGAAAGCGUGGGGAGCAAACAGG